AUCCUUUUGUAGUUCAUGAGCAUGAUGAUUCGGUGUUCGCGUGCAUGUGUGAGAUGUCACACCCACACAUCUCGCCUGACCUGAGUGGGGAAUAGAAAGAUUCCAUCUGUUC
ensembl:snoRNA